UUCCAAAACGCUUCCUUUGGGGCAGGGUCGGCUUUCCGAGUCUUUGCAACCGCUUCCAUUGCGGGGAGGAGGAGGAUCAUCCCCGAGGCUGGUGCAUUGUCGUUGUGUGUGCCGUGUGGGUUGAGAGAUUCAUCAAUGUGUGUGUUUAGAUGGUGACAGAUUACCUCAACCCCCAAACAGUCUCUGGCUUGUUAGAAGAGGAGCUGUUACAGUCUGCUCUACUGAUAGGGUUCUAAAUACUGUCUUGAGUUGGCUUGCUCUGACUAUGCAGGCUCCCUGCUCUGCUGACACACUCUGACGGUCCUGCCAGCUAGAUAAAGGUACCACAAAGAAGAAACUGAGCCUUUUAAUUGUGUCUGAGAUAUGAUGCUCAUAAAAAUAACCUUGAUACAAAGUCGUAACCUUUGAAGAUGAGGUGAAUACUCAGUUAACUGGAAACAGAGCUGCCUUCCAGGAGACAAGAUUCCUAGAGAGGAAGUAAUCAAGGAGUAUCACCUGCUGUUGCUGCAGGCCCAGCACCAGGAUUCCUGCCAGGAUGCUGAAGAUUGCCGUGAUGUUGGCACAGAGAGCAGGAAAGUCAUCUUUUCUUCACACUGUCAGCAUUUCCACUGCUGACUCUGGUGGCGUGGGAAGGAAACAGCAACUGGCUAAGGCCAAGGCAAAGGUUUUAGUAAGUGCCUUAUGCUUUUGUCAGGUUCCAGGGUUUGGGAUGUUUGGCACAUGAAGUAGGACCUAAGCACGUGGGAGCUGAUGGUAGAGAAAAUGGCUGAGAACAAAUGCUGUGGGGUGGGAUAGGCACAAAGUAGUAGAGGUGUUUGGGAAGCAGUGAGAUUAAGAGAAAGAAACAGGACUUUCUCACUCAGCAGGAGCUUUUCUAGAGCUCUGAUAUGUUCAUUACCUCAGAGCAGAGCUGCCAAGGUCUCCACAUUCCUGCUGUCUCUUUCCUACCAGUGGACACCCUGCCUCUGUCCCGCACACCUUUUGCACCCAUGGCUAGGUUACGGUGAAGUACUAUACAUGGAGAUGUAUCUUGAUGCAAAGUUCUGGACUUGUCAGGUUCAUGGGCUGCAUAUAAAGAGAAAGAGAACCAGACAGUGAGAAUCUAACACAUUUCUCUUAGCAGUGGUUGUUGGGAACAGAAGUACACUGGUAAAUACAUCACAGGGAAUGCAUUGCUACAAGGUGUUAGCAAAGGCAAGGGUGUAGCACAGAGCUGGGUGUUCCUCAGAUGAUGAGAAACAGAGCUGUCAGGAAGAAAUGUUUGUGCUACAGAAGCUGUUGUGUAGCAAAUCAAGUUGUGCACAUAGCAAAGAGUUACGAAUUUUUCCUUUAGUCAGAUUAUUGCCCAUCUUUCACUUUCCUCUCAAAAUCCAGGCCAAGUCUGCUAGAAAAGAAAACACUAGUCUGGAUUUAUGCCUUUGAGCCUUGCUGUGUGUUUAAAACAAAGUGUUACGGGUGAAGAGAAGGUGUGUCUGGAGGGAGGAAGGUAUUUCUGUCAUACUCUGAACCUGUGUAACUGGAACUCUCUGAUAACACAGUACUUCUCCAAUUUAAUGGUGUAGCUGCAAAGUUUUUUAUUGCAGUCCAGAUGUCUUUGUAUGCAUUUCUUCUCUCUUUUUGGAAACUGCCACUGUCCUUAAAUGGAUUUUUUCUAUUUUUAGUAACAAUUGUGACUCUUAAUAUCUAAUCUA